AUAAGCAUUUAAACAGUCUUCAAAACUGUGUUGACCUGCUAAGACCAGGUUGGGUGUGUUCGAUUCACACAUAUUUA
rnacentral:tRNA from 2 species